AAGCAUUCUUUUCUGUUUACAGUCAUGAACUGGAUGUGGAGGAGAGCCCGAACCUGACCCCUGAGGAAGCCUGGAGUAAACUGGGCCUUAAACACAACCCUGAGCCUCUGUUCCAAAGCGUGUUGAGCUUCAGAGGCGGCGCUGCUCAGAAGCGUCCGAGGCAGUGGCUAAAUAAAGGAGCAGUCCGCAGCGUCAACAAACACACAAGGUUCUCUGAGGCGGGGGGGGACCACACACCGCCACAGAACAGAACAGCCCUCCACAAGGU